rnacentral:rRNA from 1 species
CUCAGCGCGAACGCUGGCGGCAUUGGCUAAAACAUGCAAGUCGAACGCGAAAGUUUCUUCGGAAACGAGUACAGUGGCGAAAGGGCGAGUAAUGCGGUUCUAACGUGCCCAGAGGUCAGGGAUAGCCCAGGGAAACUUGGAAUAAAACCUGAUAACCCCGCGAAAUCGUAUGGUUUUGCGUGCAAAGGUUUACUGCCUCUGGAUCGGGAAACGUCCUAUCAGCUUGUUGGUGAGGUAAAAGCUCACCAAGGCUAAGACGGCUAGCGGGUGUGAGAGCACGACCCGCCGCAUCGGGACUGAGACACUGCCCGGACUCCUACGGGAGGCUGCAGUAACGAAUAUUCCGCAAUGCGCGAAAGCGUGACGGAGCAAUGCCGCGUGCAGGAUGAAGCCCCUCGGGGUGUAAACUGCUGUCAGGGUACAGGAACACAAUGACCAUACCCAAAGGAAGGGCCGGCUAACUUCGUGCCAGCAGCCGCGGUAAUACGAAGGGCCCGAGCGUUGCGCGGAAUUAUUGGGCUUAAAGGGUGCGCAGGCGGACCCGUAAGUGCCUUGUGAAAUCCCACGGCUCAACCGUGGAAUUGCUUCGUAGACUGCGGGUCUUGAGCUCGGCAGGGGCGGUCGGAACUCUAGGUGGAGCGGUGAAAUGCGUAGAUAUCUAGAGGAACGCCAAAGGUGAAGACAGACCGCUGGGCCGACUCUGACGCUGAGGCACGAAAGCGUGGGUAGCGAACAGGAUUAGAUACCCUGGGAGUCCACGCCGUAAACGAUGUGCAUUAGGUCCUGGAGGUUUUGACGCCAUCGGGGCUGAAGUGAAAAUAUUUAAAUGUACCGCAUGGGGAGUACGGUCGCAAGGCUAAAACUCAAAGGAAUUGACGGGGGCUCACACAAGCGGUGGAGCAUGUGGCUUAAUUCGAAGCAACGCGAAGAACCUUAUCCUGGAUUUGACAUGUAUGGAUUAACCUCGUGAAAGCGAGGCCACGCCCUCUGAGUGAAACGUGCACAGGUGCUGCAUGGCUGUCGUCAGCUCGUGCUGUGAAGUGUCGGGGUAAGUCCCUUAACGAGCGCAACCCCUUGCCGUUAGUUGCCAGCGCGCACUUCGGGUGUCGGGGACUCUAGAGAGACUGCCGGUGUUAAACCGGAGGAAGGUGGGGAUGACGUCAAGUCCUCAUGGCCUUUAUGCCCUGGGCUGCACACGUGCUACAAUGCGGCGUACAGAGCGAAGCAAUACCGCAAGGUGGAGCAAAUCGCACAAAGCGCCGCUCAGUUCGGAUUGUGGUCUGCAACUCGACCACAUGAAGCUGGAAUCGCUAGUAAUCGCGUAUCAGCUACGACGCGGUGAAUACGUUCCUGAGCCUUGUACACACCGCCCGUCAAGUCAUGGAAGCCGGUAGUGCCCGAAGUGGCCCUGAAUCAAGGGUCCCUACGGCAAGAUCGGUGACUGGGACUAAGUCGUA